rnacentral:rRNA from 1 species
GACGAACGCUGGCGGCGUGCCUAAUACAUGCCAGUUGAGCGCUGAAGGUUGGUCCUUGUUCCACCUGGGUGAGCAGCGAACGGGUGAGUAACGCGUGGGGAAUCUGCCUUUGAGCGGGGGACAACAUUUGGAAACGAAUGCUAAUACCGCAUAAUAUCUUUAACCACAAGUUUUAAGUUUGAAAGAUGCAAUUGCAUCACUUAAAGAUUAUCCCGCGUUGUCUUAGCUAGUUGGUGAAGUAAAGGCUCACCAAGGCGAUGAUACAUAGCCGAACUUAGAGGGUGAUCGGGCAAAUUGGGACUGGGAAAAGGGUCAAACUUCCACGGGAAGGAGCAGGAGGGAAACCUUGGGGAAGGACGAAAGUCUGACCGAGCAAAGCCGGGGGGGGGAAGAAGGUUUUCGGAUUGGAAAACUCUGUUGGUAGAGAAGAAAGUUAGUGAGAGGGAAAAGCGCAUGAAGUGACGGUAACUACUCAGAAAGGGACGGCUAACUACGUG